GUGGACAUCUACAUCAUGACGCAGCCACUGUCGGGCAAGUGGAUCCACUUUGGCACCGAGGUCACCAACAGCUCUGGCCGCCUCACCUUCCCGGUGCCCCUGGAGCGUGCGCUGGGCGUCGGCGUUUACCAGUGCGCAUGGUGGUCAGGGGCGACCACACCUACGCCGAAUGCUACCUGAUCGUGUACGUGACGGGCCGUCCUGAUAUGCAGAAGCACCGCGUGGUGGCCUGGCUGUCGCAGCACAACUUCCCCACGGCGUCGUCUCCUUCUGCGAUGGUCUCACUCACGACCCACUCGUCAGAAGGCGAUGUUCCUGCAGAGCCUGGUGCAGGAGGUGUGGUGGUUGGGAGGCCCCGAACCCGUGAUUGCCCGAGAGGAGGCCCGCUUGUUCCCACCAGAUGGCCCUGGCUCCCAGCCUAACAGACCGCACAUCCCGCAAGGGUCUCUAGAGUCCUUGGGGCCAACUAGGGAGAUCCGGCUAGUCCCACCCCCAGCCAGACCUGGUGAUGGAGACUAAGCGGCUCCGCCCUAACCCUUCAGCACUGAACGCCCACCAAACCCCACCUCUGUCUCCGCCCGCUCCCUCUCCCCGUCCCUGGGCUCUGAUUGGCCUCUCCGGCCACAGGUGGAACUGAACCGUGGCCGCCUCGGGUCCCCAAAGACGUGGCCGUGUAUGCGGCGCUGGGCCUGCCCCAAGCCAGACCUACAUCGUGGGCCGUGCCGUGAGGAAGCUGCAGGCGCAGUGCCAGUUCCUGUCCGAUGGCUACGUGGCCCACCUGGGCCAGCUGGAGGCCGGCUCCACCCUCAUGCCACUUGGACCCUCAAGGGCCGCCCUGGCCAAGAGCAGCUAUGGUGGGCUGCCCUGUGGACUUCUUCGAAGCAGAGCCAGCUGCUCCGCUCGAGGGCCCCAGCCAGGCGGAGCGGAGGGCCCUGGGACGCCGCCCACCACCCUGGCCCAGGGGCAGGCGCGGAGCAUCAGCCUCAAGCUGGACAGCGAAGAGUGAGGCUCCAACUGUGGCUGGACUUGGGUUAUUUAUUCAUGCACUCAAGAGCCCCAGUGGAAGGCUGGGCCCUGGCCCCAUGGCUGGCCUGCAUCUGUUUGCCCUCAGGGAUAGUUCCUUCAUGUUGGGGACCCAGCCCUGGGGGCUGGAGGAGGGAGCAGCAAGGGUCCAGAGGCUUUUCCAGCGUGUAA
rnacentral:lncRNA from 1 species